AGGAAGAGUAGGAAAACAGUAAAUACUGCUAAUGUUUAUUACCAGGGUUAAACUCCAUGGCUUCCUU
rnacentral:tRNA from 1 species